CCUACGGGAGGCAGCAGUGGGGAAUAUUGCACAAUGGGGGAAACCCUGAUGCAGCGACGCCGCGUGUGUGAAGAAGUAAUUCGGUAUGUAAAGCUCUAUCAGCAGGGAAGAAAAUGCCGGUACCUGAGUAAGAAGCCCCGGCUAACAACGUGCCAGCAGCCGCGGUAAUACGUAGGGGGCACGCGUUAUCCGGAUUUACUGGGUGUAAAGGGAGCGUAGACGGCAGUGCAAGUCUGGAGUGCAAGGCCGGGGCUCAACCCCCGGACUGCACUGGAAACUGUAAGGCUGGAGUGCAGGAGAGGGAAGUGGAAUUCCUGGUGUAGCGGUGAAAUGCGUAGAUAUCAGGAGGAACACCAGUGGCGAAGGCGGCUUACUGGACUGUAACUGACGGUGAGGUUCGAAAGCGUGGGGAGCAAACAGGAUUAGAUACCCUGGUAGUC
rnacentral:rRNA from 1 species